UACCGACUCGCUAGCCCGACCAGUCAAAAACAACAAAACACAAUAAUUAAACCCAAAGACACUACGUCCCCACAAACAAACCAUUUUUCCCCCUCAGUAUGGGCGACAGAAAAG
rnacentral:rRNA from 1 species